rnacentral:rRNA from 1 species
AGUGAACGCUGGCGGUAGGCCUAACACAUGCCAGUCGAACGGCAGCACAGUAGGAGCUUGCUCUUACGGGUGGCGAGUGGCGGACGGGUGAGGAAUACAUCGGAAUCUACUUUUUCGUGGGGGAUAACGUAGGGAAACUUACGCUAAUACCGCAUACGACCUACGGGUGAAAGCAGGGGAUCUUCGGACCUUGCGCGAUUGAAUGAGCCGAUGUCGGAUUAGCUAGUUGGCGGGGUAAAGGCCCACCAAGGCGACGAUCCGUAGCUGGUCUGAGAGGAUGAUCAGCCACACUGGAACUGAGACACGGUCCAGACUCCUACGGGAGGCAGCAGUGGGGAAUAUUGGACAAUGGGCGCAAGCCUGAUCCAGCCAUACCGCGUGGGUGAAGAAGGCCUUCGGGUUGUAAAGCCCUUUUGUUGGGAAAGAAAAGCAGCAGGUUAAUACCCCGCUGUUCCGACGGUACCCAAAGAAUAAGCACCGGCUAACUUCGUG